rnacentral:rRNA from 1 species
UACGGGGGGGGUAAGCGUUGUUCGGAAUUACUGGGCGUAAAGGGCUCGUAGGCGGCCAACUAAGUCAUACGUGAAAUCCCUCAGCUUAACUGGGGAACUGCGUGUGAUACUGGAUGGCUUGGAUUUGGGAGAGGGAUGCGGAAUUCCAGGUGUAGCGGUGAAAUGCGUAGAUAUCAGGAGGAACACCGGUGGCGAAGGCGGCUUUCUGGACAGUAACUGACGCUGAGGCGCGAAAGCUAGGGGAGCAAACAGG